GCGGGACUUCUGUUAGGGCGGGGUCUGCGUCUGCUGGACCUAAAGAGGGGAGGGGCGAGAGGCAGAAGGCGGGCCCGGGUCUAGAAGCGCUGGAGCUCUGAGAACCUAGGCUUCAGGGCAAGGCCAGCGUUCGCGUAGCCGAAGAGGGACCACCAACCCCGCUUCCUGCCAAAUGAAGUGUGCUUUGUAAUCCUCUGGAUCCUUCCAGCAGAAAGAGGCUGUAACCCACACACACUCCAGAAAGAAUCCACUAAAGCGUUUGGCACAUUAUGUUAACGCAACAUAAUUCUUUGUGUGAGCGUCUACACACGUGGAGCUUCGAGGACAACGUCAGGUGUUAUUCUUAUGCCUCCACGUGCAUAAAGGCAUAAUUCCCCCAAUAAUGCCGCUGUGGGAACCUACACCGAAAGGACUUACUGGGCUGGCAGUCAUUUUUGAAAGCCUAGAAACCUGAGUUCAAGUCCCAGGACCUACAUAAAGGUGGGAGGAGAGAUCUGACCCUCAUAAUCUGUCCUCUGACUUCCACAUACUAAAAUAAAGUGUGUAUGUGUGUGUG